GACGAACGCUGGCGGCGUGCUUAACACAUGCAAGUCGAACGGACCUUCGGGUUAGUGGCGAACGGGUGAGUAACACGUGGGUGAUCUGCCCUGCACUUUGGGAUAAGCCUGGGAAACUGGGUCUAAUACCGGAUAGGACCACGCAUUUUAUGGUGUGUGGUGGAAAGCUUUUGCGGUGUGGGAUGGGCCCGCGGCCUAUCAGCUUGUUGGUGGGGUAAUGGCCUACCAAGGCGACGACGGGUAGCCGGCCUGAGAGGGUGACCGGCCACACUGGGAUUGAGAUACGGCCCAGACUCCUACGGGAGGCAGCAGUGGGGAAUAUUGCACAAUGGGCGCAAGCCUGAUGCAGCGACGCCGCGUGAGGGAUGACGGCCUUCGGGUUGUAAACCUCUUUCGCCAGGGACGAAGCGCAAGUGACGGUACCUGGAGAAGAAGGACCGGCUAACUACGUGCCAGCAGCCGCCGUAAUAC
rnacentral:rRNA from 1 species